GCCGGUAUAGCUCAGUUGGCUAGAGCAGCUGUUUUGUAAACAGCAGGUCGGGGGUUCGACUCCCUCUACCGGCUCCA
rnacentral:tRNA from 1 species